rnacentral:piRNA from 2 species
GGCUGGUCCGAUGGUAGUGAGUUAU